UUUUGAAAUCCUGCUAACGCAGGGUGAAAUUGCGCUUACGCGCAGUGAAAUAUUGCUUCGCAAUGUGAAAUACGCC
rfam:Clostridium sp. CAG:226 genomic scaffold, scf199